rnacentral:rRNA from 1 species
UACGUAGGGUGCGAGCGUUUGUCCGGAAUUACUGGGCGUAAAGAGCUCGUAGGUGGUUUGUCGCGUUGUUCGUGAAAUCUCACGGCUUAACUGUGAGCGUGCGGGCGAUACGGGCAGACUGGAGUACUGCAGGGGAGACUGGAAUUCCUGGUGUAGCGGUGGAAUGCGCAGAUAUCAGGAGGAACACCGGUGGCGAAGGCGGGUCUCUGGGCAGUAACUGACGCUGAGGAGCGAAAGCGUGGGGGAGCGAACAGG